rnacentral:piRNA from 1 species
UGUAAAUGCAUGCCUAUUGUCUUACGCCU